CUACGGGGUGCUCCAGUGAGGAAUAUUGCACAAUGGGGGAAACCCUGAUGCAGCAACGCCGCGUGGAGGAUGACGCAUUUCGGUGUGUAAACUCCUUUUAUGAGUCGAGAAAAUGACGGUAGCUCAUGAAUAAGCACCGGCUAACUCCGUGCCAGCAGCCGCGGUAAUACGGAGGGUGCAAGCGUUACUCGGAAUCACUGGGCGUAAAGGACGCGUAGGCGGGCUUGUAAGUCAGGUGUGAAAUCCUACAGCUUAACUGUAGAACUGCACUUGAAACUACGAGCCUAGAGUAUGGGAGGGGCAGAUGGAAUUAGUGGUGUAGGGGUAAAAUCCGUAGAUAUCACUAGGAAUACCGAAAGCGAAGGCGAUCUGCUGGAACAUUACUGACGCUAAGGCGUGAAAGCGUGGGGAGCAAACGGGAUUAGAUACCCCCGUAGUC
rnacentral:rRNA from 1 species